rnacentral:rRNA from 1 species
AACGUACGCUGGCGGCACGCCUAACACAUGCAAGUCGAACGCAGUAGCAAUACUGAGUGGCAGACGGGUGAGUAACAUGUGGGAAUCUGCCUUGUGGUUCAGGACAACAUUGGGAAACCGAUGCUAAUACUGGAUAAGCCCUUAAGGGGAAAGUUUUAAUGCCAUAAGAUGAGCCCGCAUUUGAUUAGUUAGUUGGUGAGGUAAUGGCUCACCAAGAAAAUGAUCAAUAGCUGAUCUGAGAGGAUGAUCAGCCACACUGGGACUGAGACACGGCCCAUACUCCUACGGGAGGCAGCAGUGGGGAAUCUUGCACAAUGGAGGAAACUCUGAUGCAGCGAUGCCGCGUGAGUGAAGAAGGCCUUUGGGUUGUAAAGCUCUUUUGUAGGGGAAGAUAAUGACUGUACCCUAAGAAUAAGGUCCGGCUAACUUCGUGCCAGCAGCCGCCGUAA